CACCUAACUGGGUUAGGGCCCUGGCUCCAUCUCCUUUAGGAAAACCUUCUGUGGGGAGUGGGGCUUUGACCCUAACCCAGCUGGGCU
rfam:Heterocephalus glaber contig219614, whole genome shotgun sequence.